GUCAAUAUUUAAACCAACCUAAAGACAACAGAUCUCAUCUGAUCUGAGAAGCUAAGUAGGCUUGGGUCAGGUCAGUAUUUGGAUGGGAGAUCACCAUGGAAUACUGGGUACUAGAGACU
rnacentral:rRNA from 1 species